rnacentral:snRNA from 1 species
GGAUAUGAGGGUGAUCUGGCUGUGCCAUAUGCCAUUGAUCACUCGGGUUGAUUAGGUUGAUCUCGCUAUAAUAGUCUCCCCUUUCUUCCCUCUCUGGUUCUUUUGCAUCCCUUCUGAAACUGUGUGCUUCUUCAAGGUGGAUGAUCUUCCCAAUAGAGAAGGACCAUUCUUUGGUCAAGUGUAUACUGUAUAUGAAUAGCUGAGCUCCCCUGCUAGAACCUACCAUGAGCUCUUAAUAAAAAAUUUACGAUGCCAGGGGUAUGGUGGAAACAUAAUACUAUAAGGAUUAAAAAUAAUAAUUACAUCCACUUU